GACUCCUCGAAAUACCCGGAUGCAACUAUCAUGGCUGCCAUCAGUGAGAGACCGUAAGGGGGAUCGAGUCAAGAGCUGCCCGGAAAUCGCUCAGAGUUGGGGCUUCAAGGAGGCCUGUCAAAGGACAAAAGAUGAGAUUACUGGGCGGCAGGGUGCCCCAACCGUCCUAGGAACUGCGCUUCCGCGUUUCCUGUUAGUUUGCCGCCAAGUUUUUCUAGAGGAGUCGCUCCUUUUGGCAGGGUGGGGCCUCACUUCUUGCUUGGGCCUUCCUUGUGUGCCGGGUUUGGUUUCCGUUACCCUGCUUAGCCCUGGAAUUGCGUGGGCAAUGCGGGCGCUGGCCGGGGAGGAAGGGGCGGGGCAGAGGCUAGGACGGAGAGAGGUGGGGCGCGGUGGGAAAUUUGGGGUAGCAGAGGUUUGGGGCGCCCCACUAAAUGCAGGCAGCGUCAAGCUGCUGCCCCAUUGGAGUCUGGUUCCUGUGUUUUUGGCUGACAUACACCUUGCCGUGGGGCUCUCAUAUUUGGCCAUAGGGCUCUUCUCUGCUGACCCAACCAUAGUCAGCAUUAGACUUUGAUCCUCGAAUAAUAUCCAGGAUGUGUAUAAUGAAGUGUGCGAUUGGUUUUUUAAAAAUCCCAAACAUAAGCAAACUAAUGUUAGUUUUAAGUUUCAGAAUUAAUAGGGGAACUAUACAUGUUGAGUAUGGGGUUGGUUUUCUUUUAAGGUUUAAAUUUGGAUAACAUGUUAGUGCUUGUGAGAUUUUUUAACAAAAGCACUCUUAAAGUAACUGGUAUGAGAAAAUAUGCUAAUAUUUAAAAUAUUCAGAAAAUUGUUGCACUUUGCUACUGCGCAGUUGUCAUGAUGAAACACGAAGACACCAGAAUUGUACCUCAGGAUAAGACUUUAAUUGCGAGAGGCUUCUGCAAAUACAGUAAUUCUAAAUACAGAUAUAUUCAUUUCAGUUAGUUCUCUUUGCACAGUGGCCUAUAGGUUUUGUCUUCAAGUGAAACAGGAACAAAUGUGAGUUGAUUGGUUAACAUUUCCUAGUAGUUAAAACGACCUUUUAAGUGCUUAACUGUAUAUCGGUUGCAUUCAGAACCUCAGUUGAAACCAUUUUUAUUUGUCUGAAAUAUGUAAUGAACUCAUAAUGUAAAAAUACAUACAGAAUGUUAUAACAAAAAUAUAGAAACUAAUAUGUAAAGCAAGUUGACCCCAUAAAACAUAGUUUUAUAUUUUGAAUAUAAUUUGAAUUUUCACUUAAACUCUCAAAAUUAGAAGAGCUGACCAGAAAUGCUUAAAAAAGAAAUGUAGACAUUUACCCCUUCUCUAAACAUGCCAUUGUUUGAACAGAAAACAAAAUGACAUUGGAAAGCACCUGGGAUUUAUUUUUACAGUUAUACUAUAUGCAAGGUACUGAGUUGAUAAUGGAUAAAAAAAGUGCUUUACAACAUAUAAUCUAUCAAUCAUGAACAGUUAAUACUCUCACUUCUGACCAAAUCAUGUCUCCUUAUGGUACAUUUUAACCUCCCAAACUUGUGGUUCUUGUACAAGUAUUAAUAUACAGGGUUGUAAUCAUAUCUUAUAGAAAACAAAAAUAAAUGAACUGUUUACACAUUUUGAAUAUUUUUUCUUGUUUAUAUGUUGUUUCAGAUUGUAUUUAUAAAUGCAUUUGUACACAGUAGAGUCCUUAGUAACUUGAUAAUCAUAGUUUUUUGUAUGGUUUUUUGCAGGUAGGUCUACUGGGUUCUUGGCACAGUACCAUAUGGACCUGGACAAAGCAUUGUUAAGUUACAGAUUCCAUAUUGGAGUUCCUUUGAUCACUGGAAACAACCAGGAAAAACAAACAAACAAAUGGGCAGGCUUCAGGGUUGGUAGCCUCUGCUCAUCGGCCCGUGAUGUCAUCAAGGACACAGGCUCUUUCCAGCUCUUUCUGCCACCUUUUGUGUUGUGUUGUGUGGGAAGGUGUGUAAUUAUGACGCCGGGGUCAAGCUGGAGCAAGAUUGCUGCAGCAGCCGCGGGCAUCACACCCAGAGCUCUGCCACGGCUGUUCCCACGGUUCGCAGCGGUCUGCACACUGACCUGGCUUCUUACAAGCUUCGCACUCUCCUUUGAGAUGGCCUCUGACACGGCUUCUCAGGUUCCGGCCCUGGCUGUCCAUUGCAUACUGCCCGGGGUCGCCAGAGCCUCUCUUGACUAUGAACGCGUUCUUCAUUCGUCGUUGGCUACUUCUGAGGACUUGCCCUGGGACCGGAAACCCUCACCGGUAGAAUUCUAGACUGAAUAGAUUGAAUUGACAGCUUUAUAAAUUCCAUUCUCUUUGGCAGUUGUGUCUCCUGAGAGGCUUCACAUUAAGGCCCUUUUCUUCUUUCCUCCCACCCACCACAGGUCACUGAUAAGGAUCCCACCCUUUAUCCUGGACUUGCGUAAUUGGCUCAAAGAGUCUAGAUCAAACAUAAAUUUCCCUAUUGUUCCCAUUUUCCUAAGUACCUUUCUUUGAAGGUGUUUUCCUUACCUUUCUCAUUGUCUUAGGACUAGAGUCCUUAUAGUCUUUUUUUUUUAAAGAUUUUUUUAUUUAUUAGCGUGUGAGAGAGAGAGAGAGAGCAGGGGCAGAGGAAGAGGGAGAAUCAGACUCCCCACUGAGCAGGGAGCCUGAGGUGGGGCUCGAUCUCAGGACCCUGGGAUCAUGACCUGAGCAGAAAGCAGACGCUUAACCGACUGAGCCACCCAGGCACCCCCUAGAGUCCUUAUACUAUGUUGUGAUUUCUCUGAGGUUUAUCUUGGUUGUUAUUUGAAACUGGUAUUAAACAAAAAUUUGUUUAAAUUCUGACUCCAUUGAGAGGCAAAAUGAAGCGGCCUCCCCUUUCUCUGCUCUGGUAAGGCUUGCAAAAACAGAUCGCUUUGUUACCUGAACCCUCCUUGGCUCCCUCAACGAUCCUCGUCUCCUGGGUAUUGCUUCAGGUUUCCUGUGGAAGGAGCCUCAGAGAAGCUUUUCUGUUAUUCCUUAAGAACUGUCCCGCCAUCUGCCCUCCCCAGACAAAACCAUUCUGCCUCCAUCUCCACAUAAGUUCGGUGGCCAGAGCACAAACUCCCCAUCAUCCAUGUUUUACCUCAAAGGAGAAUGCAGAUGCUGAUUUUAUUGAGCUUUGUUCCUGUGCCUCAGAUUGGCUGGACUGUUACUCUUUCAACUCUGAGCAACUAGGUUUCUUACGAGGAAGGAUGACCACUUUGAUUUAGCGGGGACUAAAGCCGACUUAAUUGCCAGCAAUCACAUCCUCAACUUCCAACUGAUUAGGUCCAGUUACCUUGAUGGAUCAGGUUUCCCCCAGGGACUUAGAUCAAACCAACUGACUUCAUUUUUGGUGCUGGUAAAUGUGUUUCUUUUGCCAGUUGAAGAAUCCAAGUGGGCAACUUGCUGAUUGGCACCUUCAGAGGAACUGAAUAAGAGGGUAUGCAAGAUUUUUAUUCAGUUUAAAGAAAUCCAGAAGUCCAAGUAUUGAAGGCCUCACUUCCAGGAGCUUUGCAACCGUUGAUGUAGGACAAAAGUUUGGUCUUUCCUGGCUCAAAGAUGCCCCAUGGCAAGGAGCCUACAAAGAGGACUUUGUUUGGGACCACUUCCUUGGGACCACAAGUAAGCUUUUCAUCUCUGUUCUUCUCUUCCAUGUGGAUUUCAUAUGGCUGCAUGGACUCAGGCGAUACUCAGCAUCAGUGCUUCACCCUGUUAAUGGGUCCUGAAGACAUGGGCACCCUUUUUUAAAAUCAAACUUAUUAAUAUUCAUACAACAAAAUACACAAAUACAUACACCUGUAUAACCACCACCACAGUCAAGAUACAGAACAUUAGCAUUACCCUCAAAGGUCUCGGUGUGUCCUUUCCCACUAAAUCCUCCCCCACCCAAGUCCCUGGCCCAAGCAGCCAUUGGAAGUAACACCCAUGAGAUGAGGCUCUAUCAGUGUGAAAUAAACCUGUCUUUCCUAGAGUUAUGGAUAACCCCACUAUCUGAAAGCAUUCCUAUGAAACCUUCAUAAGCCAAAAUGGUGUAAAGCAAAGUAGCAUUUACCCUUAAUUUAUAUGGAAGAUUGUUUGAGUGUUCCCAGACCCAAAAGGAGAUGCAUCUUGCUAACGAAUGCACAAAAUAAAUCAGGAUAAAGAACAUGCUCACAGACACAGUUCAGAGCUAUGGCAGCUUGAUGCUGAGAUGCUGAGUGUAGUUCCUGGGGAGGGAGCUUCGUGGAGCUGCUCUUGCUACUUGGGGUUUGGGCUGCCCCUAUAAUGGCUUGCUGCAAAACAAGCACUGGAUGCUAUUUUUGCCUUACACAUUUCCAUCAAAGUGAAUAUCCUCUCUGGAUUUCUUUUGGUUAGGGAAAACAGGUACUCCUGCGGGUCUUUCCUAAAAGCAAAGCAGUGUAACACAAACUCAAAAAGUGGGGGACAUGUAUAGAAUGUGUUCUCUUUGGGUCUGGCUUCUUUCAUUCAGCAUGUUUUAGAGGUUCAUCCAUGUUGUUUAUAUAUCUGUAGUUUGUCUCUUUUUAUUGCUGAGUAUUAUUCCACUGUGUGGAUAUGCCACAACUUGUCCAUUCACCUAUUGAUGGACAUUUGGAUUGUUUCUCAUUUGGGGCUAGCUUUUGUUUGGACAUAAUGUUUUCAUUUGUCGUGCGUAAAUACCAAGGAGUGGAACGGCUAGGUCCUGUGGUAAGUGGAUCCUUAAAUUUAUAAUAAACUGCCAAACUGUUUUCCCAGAGUGAUUGUGUUAUUUUAGAUUUCCACCAGCAACAUCUGAGAGCUCUUGUUCCUCCACAUUCUCACCAAUAUGUAGUCGUUUUAAUUAUAGCCAUUGUAGUGGGUGUGUAGUCGUAUCUCAUCGUGGUUUUAAUUUGCAUUUCUUUGAUGACUACUGGUGCUGAGGAUCUUUUUUCUGUGCUUAUUGGCCAUACUUGCAUCUUCUUUUGUCAAGUGCACAAAUAUUGAUGAGCAACUGAUUUUACUAGGCAGUGUGACACCUCAUCUCCUGGCCACUUGAACUUCUAGUAUGGGUACCAGAGUUGCACUGUCCCUACCCAGCCACACACCCUCUUGGAGCCGUACCUCCUCCCUUUCUCUAGGUUGGGGAUCAAUA